UCGAGAAGACCACCCACACCUCUUUGCUAGCCACACCGAAUCUCGAGGACGAGAUUCAUCUUAAGGGGGUUAGGUCUGUAAUAUCCCAAAAUUUCAAACCUUUACAUGAGCAUUGCCUUCAUAAGCAUCAUGCCAUAAUUGCAUAUUUGAAUUCAAAUUUGAAUCUCAAAAGGGCUUUGGAAAGAUUUUUGUUUCUUUUUAAACCCUAGGGUUUACACCCAUUUGAGCCUUGGAUCUUCAAACCAUUAAGGUUUAAGUAUAAAAGGGGUUUAUUGCAUAAUUUUUGGAUAAUUAUUUGGAGUUCGAUUUUUUUUAAUUUAAAUAGAUAUAUGGCCCUAAAGGCAUUUAUAGGGCAAAUGUAUAUUUAUAUAUUUUAUUUUCAAGAGAAACUACUUCCAAAAGUUUUAUCAUGGUAGAACAUGAUUUUACAAGUUUUCUGGGAUUUAGUUGGACCAAUUUGGAGUUCAAAAUCAAAAGUAUCAAAGGAAUAAGAAAAACAGAAAAAGAAAAGGGUAAAAGAAAAAAAGAGGAGCAAACGGACCGGCCCGGCCGAAUUGGGCCGAACCGGCCCAACUCCUUGCGCGCGCCCGCCGCCCAGCCCGCCCCG
rnacentral:lncRNA from 1 species